rnacentral:rRNA from 1 species
UGCCAGCCGCCGCGGUAAUACGGAGGGGGUUAGCGUUGUUCGGAAUUACUGGGCGUAAAGCGCGCGUAGGCGGACUAUUAAGUGAGAGGUGAAAUCCCAGGGCUCAACCCUGGAACUGCCUCAUAAACUAUCAGUCUAGAGUUCGAGAGAGGUGAGUGGAAUUCCGAGUGUAGAGGUGAAAUUCGUAGAUAUUCGGAGGAACACCAGUGGCGAAGGCGGCUCACUGGCUCGAUACUGACGCUGAGGUGCGAAAGUGUGGGGAGCAAACAGGAUUAGAUA